rnacentral:rRNA from 1 species
GCUAACGUCCGUCGUGGAGAGGGCAACAACCCUGACCACCAUCUAAGGUCCCUAAGUUAUGGCUAAGUGGGAAAGGAUGUGAGGAUCCCAAAACAACCAGGAUGUUGGCUUAGAAGCAGCCAUCAUUUAAAGAAAGCGUAACAGCUCACUGGUCUAAAUAAGGGUCUUUGCGCCGAAAAUGUACCGGGGCUCAAGCCAUACACCGAAGCUGUGGAUGCACAUAUGUGCGUGGUAGCGGAGCGUUCCGUAAGCCUGUGAAGGGACAGUCGUGAGACAUCCUGGAGGUAUCGGAAGUGAGAAUGCUGACAUGAGUAACGAUAAAGGGAGUGAGAGACUCCCUCGCCGAAAGUCCAAGGGUUCCUGCUUAAAGUUAAUCUGAGCAGGGUUAGCCGGCCCCUAAGGCGAGGCCGAAAGGCGUAGUCGAUGGGAACCACGUUAAUAUUCGUGGGCCUGCAGGUAGUGACGGAUCGCGUGUGUUGUGAGGUCUUAUUGGAUUGAUCUUGCAGCGAAGCGGUUCCAGGAAAUAGCUCCUGCAUAUAGACCGUACCCUAAACCGACACUGGUGGACUGGUAGAGAAUACCAAGGCGCUUGAGAGAACUGCGUUGAAGGAACUCGGCAAAAUGCACGCGUAACUUCGGAAGAAGCGUGACCCUCAUUUGGGCAACCAGAUGGGGGUGGCACAGACCAGGGGGUAGCGACUGUUUACCAAAAACACAGGGCUCUGCGAAGUCGCAAGACGACGUAUAGGGUCUGACGCCUGCCCGGUGCUGGAAGGUUAAGAGGAGAUGUGCAAGCAUUGAAUUGAAGCCCCAGUAAACGGCGGCCGUAACUAUAACGGUCCUAAGGUAGCGAAAUUCCUUGUCGGGUAAGUUCCGACCUGCACGAAUGGCGUAACGACUUCCCCGCUGUCUCCAACGCAGACUCAGUGAAAUUGAAUUCCCCGUGAAGAUGCGGGGUUCCUGCGGUUAGACGGAAAGACCCCGUGCACCUUUACUAUAGCUUUACACUGGCAUUCGUGACGACAUGUGUAGGAUAGGUGGUAGACUUUGAAGCAGGGGCGCCAGCCUUUGUGGAGUCAUCCUUGAAAUACCACCCUUGUUUUUAUGGAUGUCUAACUGCGGCCCGUUAUCCGGGUCCAGGACCGUGUAUGGUGGGUAGUUUGACUGGGGCGGUCGCCUCCUAAAGAGUAACGGAGGCGCGCGAUGGUAGGCUCAGAACGGUCGGAAAUCGUUCGUCGAGUGCAAUGGCAUAAGCCUGCCUGACUGCAAGACUGACAAGUCGAGCAGAGACGAAAGUCGGUCAUAGUGAUCCGGUGGUCCCGCGUGGAAGGGCCAUCGCUCAACGGAUAAAAGGUACGCCGGGGAUAACAGGCUGAUGACCCCCAAGAGUCCAUAUCGACGGGG